rnacentral:rRNA from 1 species
AACGCUAGCUACAGGCUUAACACAUGCAAGUCGAGGGGAAACGACAUCGAAAGCUUGCUUUUGAUGGGCGUCGACCGGCGCACGGGUGAGUAACGCGUAUCCAACCUGCCCACCACUUGGGGAUAACCUUGCGAAAGUAAGACUAAUACCCGAUGAUAUCCCUAGACGACAUCUGAAAGGGAUUAAAGAUUUAUCGGUGAUGGAUGGGGAUGCGUCUGAUUAGCUUGUUGGCGGGGUAACGGCCCACCAAGGCAACGAUCAGUAGGGGUUCUGAGAGGAAGGUCCCCCACAUUGGAACUGAGACACGGUCCAAACUCCUACGGGAGGCAGCAGUGAGGAAUAUUGGUCAAUGGGCGAGAGCCUGAACCAGCCAAGUAGCGUGCAGGACGACGGCCCUAUGGGUUGUAAACUGCUUUUAUAAGGGAAUAAAGUGAGUCUCGUGAGACUUUUUGCAUGUACCUUAUGAAUAAGGACCGGCUAAUUCCGUGCCAGCAGCCGCAGUAAUACGGAAGGUCCGGGCGUUAUCCGGAUUUAUUGGGUUUAAAGGGAGCGUAGGCCGGAGAUUAAGCGUGUUGUGAAAUGUAGACGCUCAACGUCUGCACUGCAGCGCGAACUGGUUUCCUUGAGUACGCACAAAGUGGGCGGAAUUCGUGGUGUAGCGGUGAAAUGCUUAGAUAUCACGAAGAACUCCGAUUG